UACGAAGGGGGCUAGCGUUGUUCGGAAUCAUUGGGCGUAAAGCGGGUGUAGGUGGCUUGGUAAGUCAGGUGUGAAAGCCCAGGGCUUAACCCUGGAAGUGCAUUUGAAACUGCCGAGCUUGAGUGUGGGAGAGGAUGGUGGAAUUCCUGGUGUAGUGGUGAAAUACGUAGAUAUCAGGAGGAACAUCGGUGGCGAAGGCGGCUAUCUGGCCCAACACUGACACUCAGACCCGAAAGCGUGGGGAUCAAACAGG
rnacentral:rRNA from 1 species